rnacentral:rRNA from 1 species
AUGGUGUUGCUUGACAUUAGGGGUAUGUUGCAGUCCAUGGGCAAAGACAUAGCUGAUUUCGCUCUUCCAUGCAUUGACGAUGCGUUCGACCCAACCGAGGGCGAGGCCAGAGAAGUGAUUGAGGAAUCCAACGUCAAUUUUGACAUCAACGACACUAAAUUGGCUUCGUCGCUAAACUCGGAGCAGAGGGUUGCAUACGACGAGAUACUAGCUUCUGUUGAACGCGGUGAUGGGGGUGUGUUCUUUGUUGAUGGACCGGGAGGUACAGGGAAGACCUUCCUGUACAGGGCACUGCUCGCCAAGGUUCGAAGCGAGGGAAACAUCGCUAUCGCUACCGCGACAUCAGGCGUCGCCGCUUCUAUCAUGCCUGGAGGCAGGACUGCCCACUCGAGGUUCAAGAUCCCAUUG